CGGACGGGUGAGUAACGCGUGAGCAACCUGCCCUUCGGAGGGGGAUAGUGUCUGGAAACGGACAGUAAUACCGCAUAACGUAUUGAUACCGCAUGAUAUUGAUACCAAAACUGAGGUGCCGAAGGAUGGGCUCGCGUUGGAUUAGAUAGUUGGUGGGGUAACGGCCUACCAAGUCGACGAUCCAUAGCCGGACUGAGAGGUUGAACGGCCACAUUGGGUCUGAGACACGGCCCAGACUCCUACGGGAGGCAGCAG
rnacentral:rRNA from 1 species